CCUACGGGAGGCAGCAGUGAGGAAUAUUGGUCAAUGGACGAGAGUCUGAACCAGCCAAGUAGCGUGAAGGAUGACUGCCCUAUGGGUUGUAAACUUCUUUUAUAUGGGAAUAAAAUGUUCCACGUGUGGGAUUUUGUAUGUACCAUAUGAAUAAGGAUCGGCUAACUCCGUGCCAGCAGCCGCGGUAAUACGGAGGAGCCGAGCGUUAUCCGGAUUUAUUGGGUUUAAAGGGAGCGUAGGUGGAUUGUUAAGUCAGUUGUGAAAGUUUGCGGCUCAACCGUAAAAUUGCAGUUGAAACUGGCAGUCUUGAGUACAGUAGAGGUGGGCGGAAUUCGUGGUGUAGCGGUGAAAUGCUUAGAUAUCACGAAGAACUCCGAUUGCGAAGGCAGUUCACUGGACCGCAACUGACACUGAGGCUCGAAAGUGUGGGUAUCAAACAGGAUUAGAUACCCCUGUAGUC
rnacentral:rRNA from 1 species